GUUAGAGUGUAGAGGCGGCAGGUAGCCUAGUGGUUAGAGUGUAGAGGAGGUAGGUAUACUAGUGGUUAGAGUGUAGAGGCGGCAGGUAGCCUAGUGGUUAGAGUGUAGAGGAGGUAGGUAGCCUAGUGGUUAGAGUGUAGAGGAGGUAGGUAGCCUAGUGGUUAGAGUGUAGAGGAGGUAGGUAGCCUAGUGGUUAGAGUGUAGAGGAGGUAGGUAGCCUAGUGGUUAGAGUGUAGAGGAGGUAGGUAGCCUAGUGGUUAGAGUGUAGAGGAGGUAGGUAGCCUAGUGGUUAGAGUGUAGAGGAGGUAGGUAGCCUAGUGGUUAGAGUGUAGAGGAGGUAGGUAGCCUAGUGGUUAGAGUGUAGAGGAGGCAGGUAGCCUAGUGGUUAGAGUGUAGAGGUGGCGGGUAGCCUAGUGGUUAGAGUGUAGCGGUGGCAGGUAGCCUAGUGGUUAGAGUGUAGAGGAGGCAGGUAGCCUAGUGGUUAGAGUGUAGAGGAGGCAGGUAUACUAGUGGUUAGAGUGUAGAGGCGGCAGGUAGCCUAGUGGUUAGAGUGUAGAGGAGGUAGGUAGCCUAGUGGUUAGAGUGUAGCGGUGGCAGGUAGCCUAGUGGUUAGAGUGUAGAGGAGGCAGGUACCCUAGUGGUUAGAGUGUAGAGGAGGCAGGUAGCCUAGUGGUUAGAGUAUAGAGGAGGCAGGUAUCCUAGUGGUUAGAGUGUAGGACUAGUAACCGGAAGGUUACAA